GCUCCGCCUCCCGGGUUCACGCCAUUCUCCUGCCUCAGCCUCCCGAGUAGCUGGGACUACAGGCACCCGCCACCGCGCCCGGCUAAUUUUUUUUGUAUUUUUAGUAGAGACGGGGUUUCACCGUGGUCUCGAUCUCCUGACCUCGUGAUCCGCCCGCCUCGGCCUCCCAAAGUGCUGGGAUUACAGGCGUGAGCCACCGCGCCCGGCCUUCUUCAUGCAAUUUAAUAAAGAAAUGGGUUAGGGAUUUUUUUUUUAAUGAAAAGGGAAGAAAUAAGAAACAUUGUUCAUGUUUGACUUUCUUUGGGCUUCGUUAUGAGAUUAAAAUGAUUUGGAAAAUAGAAUUCUUUCAGAGGCUACACUUGAGGUUUAUGGAAUCCUGAGAUUUAUCCAGAUCAAUCUCCUCACUCAUAUGCCUUUAUGAGGUCAGCUAUGGUUCUAAUGACCAGAGGAGCUAGGACACACACCACCAGAGGGCUUCCAGCCUUUCCAGUCCCACCUUGCAGCACGCCAUCAGAGUCCUAAAAGCAAAACCAUCUUGAGGACCUUACACCCUCACUGGAGACACAGCCCUGUCUCAUUGUCAGACCAAAGAGGAAUCUGUGUGUCCCAAGUUUUUAGUUCAAAAAUAUAUUCAUUAUAUGCAGGCAAAAUGCAGCGAUUGUUAUAGUGAAGAAUCCAGGGCCUGCCUUGUUUGAGAGUUUGGUGGGAGAGCAGCAGAAGUCAGGGUCUAGCAAGGAUCUCACUUGUCAGCAGAAAUGAGCCAUCUGGUUGCUGCCCUGAGAGCCCAUCUUACACAAAUGUCACCGCUUUCCACAUUCACAACGGACCAUUUCCUUACCAGCCAGGAGAAGCCAAUUAUAUUUGUCAAAUAACAAGAGCAAAGUACAUUUUUGCAAGUCAGUCGUCU
rnacentral:lncRNA from 1 species